rnacentral:tRNA from 1 species
GGAGGUACAGCUCAGUGGCAGAGCGCAUGCUUAGCACGCAUGAGGUUCUGGGUUCAAUCCCCAGUACCUCCU